GUAGUAAGUGCCAGGGGGGUGGGCGGGGACCUCGAGGAUGCGGACCUCACCCCAGGCCGGGGCCCUAUCCCGCGGGGGCGGCCGGUGGCUAGGCGGCGUUGGAAAGGCGAUGAGCCAGGGCGCCCAGAUAGGCGAUGACCACCGGGAAUCCGCUCCGCCGGGAGGCAGACGAUGGCUAAAACGGCCUCUGAGAGGAUGUCAAUUACAAGAACAAAAAUCUCAACCCAGAACCGCAAGACUUUCAUAAAGCGACGCAGGGGGUCAUAUUAUAUUCCCUCCUCCCCGAAUCGCGGGGAGACUUACCUCCAGGGAAGCGACCCGACUGUUGAGUAGCACGCACCAAUCCACGGAUGGAGACGAGGUCGUGGGUCAUCAAGCCCCGCCGAGAUGCACCAAGUAAUCCACGGUAGAGGGUCCGGAGGCCCGGUCCCCAUUUCCAUCCAAGGCCAAAGCGCCGGCCGUCCCGGCCUCGGCGCCCGGGACCCGCGGAGAUUGCGCGCGGGUUCGCCGGCCCGGGCUCCCCAGGGGCGCCCCGCCGAUCGCAGCCCGCCUCCCUGCGCUCUGAGAGCACCCAGCUCGGACGCAGCAGCUCGCCUUUCUUCACUGCGUAUCACCAGCGCGACCCCAGGAAUCCCCGCCGGGAACCCCUCUGCCAAGCCCGGAAAAGCAUUAGGGGCAGAGGCAGUCUGGGCCUCGGGUCUACAGGGAAGCACGCAGCCUUGACUGCCAGUGGCCGUCAUUUGCACCCAAGCCGGUGACCAGCCUCAGGAUGAAGGCAUCCCUGGUGCUGGGAGAGCUGAAAUGAAAGAACAGGGGUCCCCGGUAACAUCACUGAUCCUCCACUGAACCCACUGGUCCCAGAGUCUGUCUUACCACUAGACCUCUAAGUACGUGUCUUCACCGUUUAACUUCUCCUGAGUUAUGUCAGGGAGGGUUUGCGUCACUCACCCAGAAGGUAUCUCUGACUAAACAGUCAUGUUGACUGCUCCAGGCUGAAGUCUGAAUGCCUAGCCCACUCUGGCACCAACUCUGCUGUGUGCUCUUGGAGAAGUGACUCAACCUUCCUGGACCUGUUCACUCCAUCUCAAACAUGGGGAAAAUUUUUCCUGUCCCUCCUUAUUUUGCAAGGUGACUUUGAAAACCAGUGCAGGGACUUCCCUGGUAGGCCAGUGGUUAAGACUUCGUCUUCCACUGGAGGGGCUGUGGGUUCAAUUCCUUGUCAGGGAGCUUGUCAGACCACGGAUGGUCAAUUUCAAGAGGACUGUCUCAGCUGACUGUGCUGUUUCUGCCUGUAGCCACCCUUCCCACCACUCCCUACUGCCGUGAAAGCUCCUGUCCUCUGAUCAUCAGUGGGGAGGACCGGCCUUUGGACAGGCUUCCACCUGCCCACCCCAGCAGCCACCAUCCAAAAUAAAGCAAACUUUCCUUUCUAC
ensembl:lncRNA